rnacentral:lncRNA from 1 species
UGUGUUCAUGUCCUCUACAGUCCCUCGCUCUUCUCGCCUCGUCUCUCCUCUCUCUCUCUCUCUCUCUUAGGGGAGACUGCUGUGUUCAUGUCCUCUCAGUCCCUCGCUCUUUCAUCAGCCUCUCCUCUCUCUCUCUCUUAGAGACUGUGUGUGUUCAUGUCCUCUUCAGUCCCUCGCUCUACCAGCCUCUCUCUCUCUCUCCGUUCUCUCUCUCUCUUAGGAGACUGCUGUGUUCAUGUCCUCUCAGUCCCUCGCUCUUACUCAGCUCCUCUCUCUCUCCUUUCUCUAGGAGACUGCUGUGUUCAAUGUCCUCUCAGUCCCUCGUCUUACUCAGCGCUCUCUCUCUCUCUCCCUCUCUUAGGAGACUGCUGUGUUCAUGUCCUCUCAGUCCCUCGCUCUUACUCAGCCUCUCUCUCUCCCUCUCUUAGGAGACUGCUGUGUUCAUGUCCUCUCAGUCCCUCGCUCUUACUCAGCCUCUCUCUCUCUCUCUCUCUCUCUCUGUCUUUGUCUCUGUCUCUGUCUCUCUGUGCCAGGGGCAGUCUUUCCCCUGAUGUCUCUAGAGUUGGGGCCACCCUGAGGCCAGCACCAGAGCCACACUGAGGAUCAAUACCCACACACUCGCCCCUCCUCACCACCUCCACCACCUCCCUGAACAAGGGAUCGAUGGCGAGAUACAGCCUGGGGAGGAGUCUCAUAGAGCUUCAAAGAGCUUCCCAUCAGUCACUCAUCACUCAGUCACUCAGUCACUCAUCACUCAGUCACUCAUCACUCACCUGCUGAAAGUGUUAGCAGAUUGUUUUAAGUUUAUUGUAGAAGAUUUACAGAAGUUGGAAUUGAAUGUUUCUGUAAUCAAACAUUGUGAAAGCAGUGAUAGUGACUCUCAAGUUAAAAUAGAGGGGGGAAAAAAUUGAGGCUUGCACGUACGCACGUACGCACUCUCACACCUCCUCUAUAAUUCAUGGGGCGGUAUUGUUUGGAUGCAGUUAACUGCUACUUAAAAGUAAUUAAUUGAUUUUCUGACAUAUCAGUUAGCAGCACUGCCAAGUGACAGAACAGAGUGGUCCAGCACCUGGUUAACAGACACACACCUUCACAUAGCCGCAUGCACGCACGCAAGCACACACACACACGCACACACACACACACUCACACUCCAGGAAUGGGACAAACAGCCCACACACACUCAGUCCAGCUGUAUUUACAUUGCAACUAAGGAGAAACUCUUAACCAGUGACACACGCACAUGCAACACAAACACACAGCAUWUCAAAGGAGCAGUUUUUCCCAUGGUCCCUUUCCUGUACUCCCCUGCCCCAUCGCUGAAUCCCCCAGGGCCCAAUAGACACAGUAAUGCUAACAUGGCGAACACCAGAACUAGUAUCAUGACAAGAUAAUCAGGCUAAUCUGUCAAUCACAACUAAAUCAGAAUACUACAAUGAAUUCAUCCCYCAAUCCAAGUGCUGUUUGAUUUGGUCAUUUCUGACUGAAGAUAUGACUCAGUGCAUUGAGUUUGUCUGUGUCUGAAACCUGCCAGUCUUCAGAAGGGAAGGUGUGUGUGUGUGUGUGUUGAAUAAUUCAGCGUGCUCUCAGAUGAGAGAAAACUAGCAGCUCUAUGAGGCACUCCUCCUGUGGAACUACUGAUUGAUUUUCUGACACAAGUUAUGAGAAGAGAAUAUGAGAGAGAGAGGGAGAGAGAGAGGAGAGGAGAGGAGAGAGGGUCACAUAGCGCUCAACGGUUUGAAGUGAUGCAUCUGUCUAAACGUUACUGUGACACCCGUUUGUAACCUUGUAAUGUUGACACCUAUAUUCCAGUCAUAGUAUACAUCCUAUGCACAGUUCAGCUGUCCACACUUCACUUUUCACCUACAGCUUAUAUCUCAGCACCUCUGUCCUUGCUGUAUAGAGCACUGAGCAGGGAGAGAAGGAUGGAAGGAGGGAGGGAUGGAAGGAGGGAGGGAGACGGGAGAGGGGAGAGGGAGAGAGCUAUGGGGUAUUCUGCUCUCUCUCUCUGAGCAUCAGGCCGCGUUUUCGUUUGCAGUUUGAAUGGAUGAGCAGGUGUAGUGAUGCAGGAAAUAACACCACACACACACACACACAACACACACACACACACAACACACAACACACCACACACACACCACACACACACACACACACACACACACACCACACCACACUGAUAGUUAAUCACUUUGAAAAGGACAUAUUCCUGUGAUCACAAAGAGACUUGGGACCACGUGUUGUUGGUUUAUUUCCAUGUCUUAUUUCAGCACAUUUUAAAUAAGUAUACGGUCUGCUUCCUCGUUUGUGAUUUCGGCCCGGGUUACUGUUUUAUUUUUUAAAGUGCUUCCUGAAUAAAAUGUGAUAUUUGAUCUGUAAACUAUGGAAGGUUUUCAUCUACCAUCCAAUGGUAUGGACCAUAGAAGGAUCAAUAGAAAGAGAGGAGGAUGGUGGAUGGAAAAAGGAUGGAUGGGCAG